CCUACACCUACUCUUAUCACUUGUAAUCCAAAAAAGCUCCAUUUCUUUCUUAUACGCUAAUUCACUAUUAAAUAUAAAUGUAUAUGCAAAACAGCGAGAAAUUUGUAGAUACGUUGGAUGUUGUUGCUUUCACAUUUGCAACUCUUAGUAGUUGUUCAAAACAACAAUGUCGAGCAAAGAUGUUUGCGAUGUUUGAAUGAUUCUUGGAUUGUAUUUGGAUUCCAUCGGUACUAUGGCCUGUUGAUUCGGCACCUUUGUCAUUUUAGCAACUUUUGUUUUCUUUUCUGUGUCGAUGUAGUUCUCUAUACCAUAUUCAUGUUCAUAUCAAUGUCCAUAUCAAGAGGUCCCAUGUUCCAUUACAUAUCCCGUGUUCUUUCCUUCUUCCAGCUUUUACAUGCUAGCCUUUUAUACAAUGAUUCCUCUCAUCUCGACUCGUUUGAUGAAUGGGCGUUUAGUUUUUGCAACAACAUAUGCGUUGGGUUAUCUCAUAUCGGGAAACACUUUCUGCCACUUUUAACUUGAACNAAGUUGGAGAAAUAAAGUGAUGGCAGAUAUUGCNAG
rnacentral:sRNA from 1 species